UAAAGUAUAUUAAAUGCUUCGUAUAACCCUAAUAAUACGGUUUAGGGGUUUCUACCAAGAACCAUUAAUUCUUGAUUACGAGGAAAUCAUUUAU
rnacentral:ncRNA from 1 species